rnacentral:rRNA from 1 species
CCCGAGCAAUCGGGAAAGUAGAGUGGCGCACGGGUGAGUAACACGUAGGUAAUCUACCUUCGGAUGGGGAAUAACAACCGGAAACGGUUGCUAAUACCGCAUAAUGCAGCGGCACCUAAUGGUGACAGUUGUUAAAGCGGGGGAUCGAAAGACCUCGCGUCUGAAGAGGAGCCUGCGGCGGAUUAGCUAGUUGGUAAGGUAAUGGCUUACCAAGGCGACGAUCCGUAACCGGCCUGAGAGGGCGGUCGGUCACACUGACACUGACAUACGGGUCAGACUCCUACGGGAGGCAGCAGUCGGGAAUUUUGGGCAAUGGGCGAAAGCCUGACCCAGCAACGCCGCGUGAAGGAUGAAAUCCCUCGGGAUGUAAACUUCGCAAGAACGGGAAGAAUAAGUAGGGGACAAUACCCCCUAUGAUGACGGUACCGUUUGUAAGCUCCGGCUAACUCCGUGCCAGCAGCCGCGGUAAUACGGGGGGAGCAAGCGUUGUUCGGAUUUACUGGGCGUAAAGGGCGCGUAGGCGGUCAGCACAAGUCAGUUGUGAAAUCUCCGAGCUUAACUCGGAAAGGUCAACUGAUACUGUGCGACUAGAGUGCAGAAGGGGCAACUGGAAUUCUCGGUGUAGCGGUGAAAUGCGUAGAUAUCGAGAGGAACACCUGCGGCGAAGGCGGGUUGCUGGGCUGACACUGACGCUGAGGCGCGAAAGCUAGGGGAGCGAACGGGA